AUUGAACGCUGGCGGCAGGCCUAACACAUGCAAGUCGCGCGAUCGGCGGACGGGUGAGUAAUGUAUGGGGCCCUGCCUGAUGGCGGGGGAUAACUACUGGCAACGGUAGCUCAUACCGCAUACCCUCAGCUGUGCCCAUAUGGGAUUAGCUUGUAGGUAAGGUAACGGCUUACCUAGGCGACGCUCCCUAGCUGGUCUGAGAGGAUGAUCAGCCACACUGGGACUGAGACACGGCCCAGACUCCUACGGGAGGCAGCAGUGGGGAAUAUUGCACAAUGGGCGCAAGCCUGAUGCAGCCAUGCCGCGUGUAUGAAGAAGGCCUUCGGGUUGUAAAGUACUUUCAGUCGGGAGGCGUUACCGACAGAAGAAGCACCGGCUAACUCCGUGCCAGCAGCCGCGGUAAUUC
rnacentral:rRNA from 1 species